rnacentral:lncRNA from 1 species
CGGAACAACACCAUUCGAUGAAAGAAAACUAAUUUUAAAAACUAAAAUAUAAAACGUCCACUUUGCUACAGAAGUCUUAUUAUCGAAAUUGGAGACGCCUUUCCUGUCAACAGACCGGUUUCGUUUCUUUUUGACUUCAUGCAAUGCCCUUUGGUUAUGUUUUCACCCUGAUUUGUAAGUUCUGAGUGGAUCAAUGAAUUUAAUCAUAUUGGUAAACUACUCUUGCCUCUUAUGUUAUGUUACCGAUAUGUUCGACAGCUACAAUUUAUGUGUUCAAAUAAAACUACCAAUAACGAUAACACUGAAUUUAUGUUUUUCUACUUUCAGGAUGCACACAACAGAGAUAUAAUAUCAUACAGAGAUGUGUCAAGUGUGGAGGAAUAUCAAAUAACACAGGAUCGUACUGUCAAUCAUGUUUGUGCUAUUUGAGCGACGACAGUGACAUAGAUGUAUUUCCUAGAUCUGGUCAAACAGAGCCAUACGGGGUGCACAAACAAUAACUCUAUUUAUGUAUGUGCGUAUUUUUCUAUCUCAUGUAUAUUGUGG